UUCGAGCGACGUAUUGACAGAUUGUUUGUUCAAUUCAUUAUUUAUUGUUUUCGAGCAAACAACAUCUUAUGAAAAAAAUUGCAUUGAAAUGAGAGUAUAAAUAUCUAAAUAUGUUCUCGUUAUUUUAUAUUCUUGAAAGAAUACUCGAUUAAGUGGUUAACGUAAAAUUUAUAAACAUGAACGCAAAUACAGCUGUUGUUUUGCUGCUCCUUUUUCUGCAAUGCUACGAAGGGCGUAAAAUAUCUUCAGAAAAAGAUGCACCUGCUUCCGUUGACAAAGUUUAUCCAAAAAUGCUGUUUCGUUUUACCCAAAAUGAAUGUAACAGAAGCCACUGCUUCCCCCCCGAUUCGAAGAUGGCAAAAACUCAUCUUACUCAAAAAAUCCAAUAGUGCUUGAGUGGCUUCCAAUGAUCAUGAGUACAAAUGUGUUAUGAAAAAAAAAAUUAUUGUACUCGAGCAUUACUACACAGAAUAUUUCAAAAAUAAAAAUAUUAUCUCAUUA